UGGAGAAACUGGACCCAGACCUGCUGC
rnacentral:piRNA from 1 species